rnacentral:rRNA from 1 species
GCUUGUCUCAAAGAUUAAGCCAUGCAUGUCUAAGUAUAAGCAAACUUGUACUGUGAAACUGCGAAUGGCUCAUUAUAUCAGUUAUAGUCUACUCGAUAGUACCUUACUACUUGGAUAACCGUAGUAAUUCUAGAGCUAAUACAUGCACAAAGGCCCGACUCACGAAGGGCUGUAUUUAUUAGAUGGAAACCAAUGCGGGGCAACCCGGAUUAUGGUGAUUCAUAAUAACUUUCAGAUCGAUCGCAAGAUCGAUGCAUCAUUCAAGUUUCUGCCCUAUCAGCUUUGGAUGGUAGGGUAUUGGCCUACCAUGGCUUUAACGGGUAACGGAGAAUUAGGGUUCGAUUCCGGAGAGGGAGCCUGAGAAACGGCUACCACAUCCAAGGAAGGCAGCAGG